rnacentral:rRNA from 1 species
GACGAACGCUGGCGGCGUGCUUAACACAUGCAAGUCGAACGGAAAGGCCCUGCUUUUGUGGGGUGCUCGAGUGGCGAACGGGUGAGUAACACGUGAGUAACCUGCCCUUGACUUUGGGAUAACUUCAGGAAACUGGGGCUAAUACCGGAUAGGAGCUCCUGCUGCAUGGUGGGGGUUGGAAAGUUUCGGCGGUUGGGGAUGGACGCGCGGCUUAUCAGCUUGUUGGUGGGGUAGUGGCUUACCAAGGCUUUGACGGGUAGCCGGCCUGAGAGGGUGACCGGCCACAUUGGGACUGCGAUACGGCCCAGACUCGUACGGGAGGCAGCAGUGGGGAAUAUUGCACAAUGGGCGGAAGCCUGAUGCAGCAACGCCGCGUGCGGGAUGACGGCCUUCGGGUUGUAAACCGCUUUCGCCUGUGACGAAGCGUGAGUGACGGUAAUGGGUAAAGAAGCACCGGCUAACUACGUG